rnacentral:rRNA from 1 species
ACGAACCUUCGGGUUAGUGGCGGACGGGUGAGUAACGCGUGAGAAUCUGCCCUCAGGAGGGGGAUAACGGCUGGAAACGGCCGCUAAUACCCCAUAUGCCGAGAGGUGAAAUGAAUUUCGCCUGAGGAUGAGCUCGCGUCUGAUUAGCUAGUUGGUGUGGUAAAGGCUCACCAAGGCAUCGAUCAGUAGCUGGUCUGAGAGGAUGAUCAGCCACACUGGGACUGAGACACGGCCCAGACUCCUACGGGAGGCAGCAGUGGGGAAUUUUCCGCAAUGGGCGCAAGCCUGACGGAGCAACCCCGCGUGAGGGAUGAAGGCCUCUGGGCUGUAAACCUCUUUUAUCAAGGAAGAAGAUCUGACGGUACUUGAUGAAUAAACCACGGCUAAUUCCGUGCCAACAGCCGCGGUAAUACGGGAGGUGGCAAGCGUUUUUCCCGGAAUUAUUUGG